AGAGUUUGAUCAUGGCUCAGGACGAACGCUGGCGGCGUGCUUAACACAUGCAAGUCACGGGGGCCCGCAAGGGCAACCGGCGAACGGGUGCGUAACACGUGAGCAACCUGCCUUUGUGUGGGGGAUAGCCGGGCUAACGCCCGGGUAAUACCGCAUACGGUCACCGGGAGGAGUCUCCUGGUGAAGAAACCUCCGGGGCACGAAGAGGGGCUCGCGGCCUAUCAGCUAGUUGGCGGGGUAAUGGCCCACCAAGGCGACGACGGGUAGCUGGUCUGAGAGGAUGGCCAGCCACAUUGGGACUGAGAGACGGCCCAGACUCCUACGGGAGGCAGCAGUGGGGAAUCUUGCGCAAUGGCCGAAAGGCUGACGCAGCGACGCCGCGUGUGGGAGGACGCCUUUCGGGGUGUAAACCACUGUUGCCCGGGACGAACAUCCCUUUUCGAGGGGACUGACGGUACCGGGUGAGGAAGCACCGGCUAACUCCGUGCCAGCAGCCGCGGUAAUACGGAGGGUGCGAGCGUUGUCCGGAAUCAUUGGGCGUAAAGGGCGCGUAGGUGGCGGGACAAGCGUGCGGUGAAAGCCUGGGGCUCAACCCCGGGUCGGCCGUGCGAACUGUUUUGCUUGAGCACUGUAGAGGCAGGCGGAAUUCCGGGUGUAGCGGUGGAAUGCAGAGAUCCGGAAGAACACCGGUGGCGAAGGCGGCCUGCUGGGCAGUAGCUGACACUGAGGCGCGACAGCGUGGGGAGCAAACAGGAUUAGAUACCCUAGUAGUCC
rnacentral:rRNA from 1 species